GAUGAACGCUAGCGGCAGGCUUAAUACAUGCAAGUCGUGGGGCAGCAUGCUGUAGCAAUACAUUGAUGGCGACCGGCAAACGGGUGCGGAACACGUACACAACCUUCCUUUUAGUGGGGAAUAGCCCAGAGCAAUUUGGAUUAAUACCCCAUAAGAUAAUGAGAUGGCAUCAUCUUAUAAUUAAAGCCUCGGCGCUAGAAGAUGGGUGUGCGGCUGAUUAGGUAGUUGUCGGGGUAGCGGCCCACCAAGCCUACGAUCAGUAGCUGAUGUGAGAGGAGGAUCAGCCAAGCGGGAGCUGGGACACGGGCCCGACUCCUACGGGAGGCAGGAGUAAGGAAUAUUGGACAAUGGACGCAAGUCUGAUCCAGCCAUGCCGCGUGAAGGAUUAAGGUCCUCUGGAUUGUAAACUUCUUUUAUUUGAGACGAAAAAAGAUCAUUCUUGAUCACUUGACGGUACCAGAUGAAUAAGCACCGGCUAACUCCGUGCCAGCCGCCGCUGUAAAAC
rnacentral:rRNA from 1 species